rnacentral:tRNA from 1 species
GCGUUGAUGGUGUAAUGGUUAGCAUUGCUGCUUUCCAAGCAGUAGAUCUGGGUUCGAUUCCCGGUCAACGCA